rnacentral:rRNA from 1 species
GACGAACGCUGGCGGCGUGCUUAACACAUGCAAGUCGAACGGAAAGGCCCUGCUUUUGUGGGGUGCUCGAGUGGCGAACGGGUGAGUAACACGUGAGUAACCUGCCCUUGACUUUGGGAUAACUUCAGGAAACUGGGGCUAAUACCGGAUAGGAGCUCCUGCUGCAUGGUGGGGGUUGGAAAGUUUCGGCGGUUGGGGAUGGACUCGCGGCUUAUCAGCUUGUUGGUGGGGUAGUGGCUUACCAAGGCUUUGACGGGUAGCCGGCCUGAGAGGGUGACCGGCCACAUUGGGACUGAGAUACGGCCCAGACUCCUACGGGAGGCAGCAGUGGGGAAGAUUGCACAAUGGGCGGAAGCCUGAUGCAGCAACGCCGCGUGCGGGAUGACGGCCUUCGGGUUGUAAACCGCUUUCGCCUGUGACGAAGCGUGAGUGGCGGUAAUGGGUAAAGAAGCACCGGCUAACUACGUG